rnacentral:rRNA from 1 species
UACGUAGGGUGCAAGCGUUGUCCGGAAUUACUGGGCGUAAAGAGCUCGUAGGUGGUUUGUCGCGUUGUUCGUGAAAACCGGGGGCUUAACCCUCGGCGUGCGGGCGAUACGGGCAGACUGGAGUACUGCAGGGGAGACUGGAAUUCCUGGUGUAGCGGUGGAAUGCGCAGAUAUCAGGAGGAACACCGGUGGCGAAGGCGGGUCUCUGGGCAGUAACUGACGCUGAGGAGCGAAAGCGUGGGGAGCGAACAGG